UGGAUUAAUUCGAUGCAACGCGAAGAACCUUACCUACCCUUGACAUGUCCGGAACUUGCCAGAGAUGGCUUGGUGCCCGAAAGGGAAUCGGAACACAGGUGCUGCAUGGCUGUCGUCAGCUCGUGUCGUGAGAUGUUGGGUUAAGUCCCGCAACGAGCGCAACCCUUAUCAUUAGUUGCUACGCAAGGGCACUCUAAUGAGACUGCCGGUGACAAACCGGAGGAAGGUGGGGAUGACGUCAAGUCCUCAUGGCCCUUAUGGGUAGGGCUUCACACGUCAUACAAUGGUCGGUACAGAGGGUUGCCAAGCCGCGAGGCGGAGCCAAUCCCACAAAGCCGAUCGUAGUCCGGAUUGUUCUCUGCAACUCGAGAGCAUGAAGUCGGAAUCGCUAGUAAUCGCAGGUCAGCAUACUGCGGUGAAUACGUUCCCGGGUCUU
rnacentral:rRNA from 1 species